UACGUAGGGUGCAAGCGUUAAUCGGAAUUACUGGGCGUAAAGCGCACGUAGGUGGCGACGUAAGUCGGGUGUGAAAGCCCCGGGCUCAACCUGGGAAUUGCAUUCGAGACUGCAUUGCUGGAGUACGGAAGAGGAGGGCGGAAUUCCCGGUGUAGCGGUGAAAUGCGUAGAUAUCGGGAGGAACAUCAGUGGCGAAGGCGGCCCUCUGGUCCAGUACUGACGCUGAGACGCGAAAGCGUGGGGAGCGAACAGG
rnacentral:rRNA from 1 species